rnacentral:rRNA from 1 species
UACGAAGGGGGCUAGCGUUGUUCGGAAUUACUGGGCGUAAAGCGCACGUAGGCGGAUCGAUCAGUCAGGGGUGAAAUCCCAGAGCUCAACUCUGGAACUGCCUUUGAAACUCCUGGUCUUGAGGUCGAGAGAGGUGGGUGGAAUUCCGAGUGUAGAGGUGAAAUUCGUAGAUAUUCGGAGGAACACCAGUGGCGAAGGCGGCUCACUGGCUCGAUACUGACGCUGAGGUGCGAAAGCGUGGGGAGCAAACAGG